rnacentral:rRNA from 1 species
GAUCAUGGCUCAGGAUGAACGCUGGCGGCGUGCCUAACACAUGCAAGUCGAACGAAGCUCUGGUUACGGAGGCUCGGCCAAAGCAACCGGAUGACUGAGUGGCGGACGGGUGAGUAACGCGUGGGCAACCUGCCCCAUUAUGGGGGAUAGCAGUUGGAAACGACUGGUAAUACCGCAUAAGCGCACGGGAAGGCAUCUUUCUGUGUGAAAAGAUUUAUCGUAAUGGGAUGGACCCGCGUCUGAUUAGAUAGUUGGUGAGGUAACGGCCCACCAAGUCGACGAUCAGUAGCCGGACUGAGAGGUCGGACGGCCACAUUGGGACUGAGAGACGGCCCAAACUCCUACGGGAGGCAGCAGUGGGGGAUAUUGCACAAUGGGGGGAACCCUGAUGCAGCGACGCCGCCGUGAGUGAAGAAGUAUUUCGGUAUGUAAAGCUCUAUCGACAGGGAAGAAAGGCCCCGCAAGGGGAGAUGACGGUACCUGAAUAAGAAGCCCCGGCUAACUACGUGCCAGCCGCUGC